AUUGAACGCUGGCGGCGUGCUUAACACAUGCAAGUCGAUCGGUAACAGGUGUAGCAAUACAUGCUGACGAGAGGCGGACGGGUGAGUAAUGCUUGGGAAUCUGCCUAUUAGUGGGGGACAACCCGGGGAAACUCGGGCUAAUACCGCAUACGCUCUACGGAGGAAAGCCGGGGACCGCAAGGCCUGGCGCUAAUAGAUGAGCCCAAGUCGGAUUAGCUAGUUGGUAGGGUAACGGCCUACCAAGGCGACAAUCCGUAGCUGGUCUGAGAGGACGACCAGCCACACCGGAACUGAGACACGGUCCGGACUCCUACGGGAGGCAGCAGUGGGGAAUAUUGGACAAUGGGGGCAACCCUGAUCCAGCGACGCCGCGUGGGUGAAGAAGGCCUGCGGGUUGUAAAGCCCUUUCGGUGGGGAAGAAAAGUCUCGACCUAAUACGUCGGGACCUUGACGUAACCCACUAAAGAAGCACCGGCUAACUCUGUGCCAGCCGCCG
rnacentral:rRNA from 1 species